UUGAACGCUGGCGGCAGGCCUAACACAUGCAAGUCGAGCGGAUGAAGGGAGCUUGCUCCUGGAUUCAGCGGCGGACGGGUGAGUAAUGCCUAGGAAUCUGCCUGGUAGUGGGGGAUAACGUCCGGAAACGGGCGCUAAUACCGCAUACGUCCUGAGGGAGAAAGUGGGGGAUCUUCGGACCUCACGCUAUCAGAUGAGCCUAGGUCGGAUUAGCUAGUUGGUGGGGCAAAGGCCUACCAAGGCGACGAUCCGUAACUGGUCUGAGAGGAUGAUCAGUCACACUGGAACUGAGACACGGUCCAGACUCCUACGGGAGGCUGCAGUGGGGAAUAUUGGACAAUGGGCGAAAGCCUGAUCCAGCCAUGCCGCGUGUGUGAAGAAGGUCUUCGGAUUGUAAAGCACUUUAAGUUGGGAGGAAGGGCAGUAAGUUAAUACCUUGCUGUUUUGACGUUACCAACAGAAUAAGCACCGGCUAACUUCGUG
rnacentral:rRNA from 1 species